ACGGGAGGCAGCAGUGGGGGAUAUUGCACAAUGGGGGAAACCCUGAUGCAGCGACGCCGCGUGAGUGAAGAAGUAUUUCGGUAUGUAAAGCUCUAUCAGCAGGGAAGAUAAUGACGGUACCUGACUAAGAAGCCCCGGCUAACUACGUGCCAGCAGCCGCGGUAAUACGUAGGGGGCAAGCGUUAUCCGGAUUUACUGGGUGUAAAGGGAGCGCAGGUGGUGAGGCAAGUCAGAAGUGAAAGCCCGGGGCUCAACCGCGGGACUGCUUUUGAAACUGUCUGACUGGAGUGCAGGAGAGGUAAGUGGAAUUCCUAGUGUAGCGGUGAAAUGCGUAGAUAUUAGGAGGAACACCAGUGGCGAAGGCGGCUUACUGGACUGUAACUGACACUGAGGCUCGAAAGCGUGGGGAGCAAACAGGAUUAGAUACCCUGGUA
rnacentral:rRNA from 1 species